rnacentral:rRNA from 1 species
UACGUAGGGGGCAAGCGUUGUCUGGAAUUAUUGGGCGUAAAGCGCGCGCAGGCGGUUAAUUAAGUUGGGUGUUUAAGCCCGGGGCUCAACCCCGGUUCGCAUCCAAAACUGGUUGACUUGAGUGUAGGAGAGGAAAGUGGAAUUCCACGUGUAGCGGUGAAAUGCGUAGAGAUGUGGAGGAACACCAGUGGCGAAGGCGACUUUCUGGCCUAUAACUGACGCUGAGGCGCGAAAGCGUGGGGAGCAAACAGG